AAGGGACGGAAUACAAAGGAAGUUACCUCCCUGACUGAAGUAAAUGAGUCACAAUGCCGCCCAGUUCAGGAGGAAUUAGCCAGAUAUAGUGCCACCUACCGGUACGAGGAACUAGUGGGUAGACUACCACCUGUAGGAGUUGACCCGGCAUGUAAAGAAGAAUAUCUAUCAGAUGUGGACUUCCAGAAAAUCUUUGGACUUGAUAGAUCGCUCUACAAGCAGAAACCGAGAUGGAGACAGAUCGAGCUAAAGAAGGAAGCUGGGUUAUUCUGAUUCAUCCCCAUUCCAGAGAAGCCAUUCUGUCGCUUCAUUGUUUCUAGCUUUUUGCGACUUUUUUUUUUUAUAUAUGAUGUAUUUUUCUAUUGGUGUAUGAAGCUUCUUGAAACAUUCAGAUUGUAACAUUGCAAUUUGUUGUGUUACUUAAUACGGUUAAUUCAUCCGAUACUAAACAAACCAUAACCACAUAACGAAUCCAAUCAUUUGAGUUUCCACGUCAAAACAAUGACCAGAGCAUUAGAGUAUACGGCUGUGUAUCAACAGGAAAUAAUUGAACAUUUCUAUUGUAAUUCUCAAGCAUGAGGUUCAACGCUCUUGUGCAAGUAUAUGGAAGGUGUUGCAAUUAAAUAUAUUGAAGCCGAUUUGUCGAGAAGAACUGAUAUUUUUAUUAUGUACAGGACAAAUACAUUAUGUACAAGACAAAGAUAUCAUGUACAGACCCAUUUACCAAGUACAGACCUAUGCAAUAUGUAAAUGCCAUAUAUCGUACCCAGGCGGUUCCAAGUAUCGUCAUAUGUACUUUGAUUAUAUUUGAAUGCCUAUUAAAAGCUAUACAGUGUUAGUUUAAUCAUAUUGUGAGAACGCGCGUGUGGGGGGAAGGUUGGGGAUACCUCUUGCGCUUCACAGCCUGAAAGGCGCCUCCCGUAGGUGUUAUAUAUGGUGGGGGCAACUGUUGUACGAUCCCUUAUGAAGUCCGUGUUAUAGUCUUUUAUGACAGAAAGCACGUGCACUACCCGGGAUAAGUCGACUGUUGUUUGGAAGUGAGUCACGUGCACGGUGUAGCGGACUGUUUUUAUGACGAGGAACUGUCUCCGGCGAUAUUAUUUAAUUAAUCUAUAACUUUAAUCAGUGAGCUGUAACGAGACCAUGAACGCAGUCAGCUGUGACGUGAUGGUGGACCUAGUCAGCUUAAAGUCCGUUUGUUGUCAACUGUAAAGGCGAUUGUAGAGAAUACUGCCAGUAGUUCGUUUGUUGUCAACUGUAAAGGCGAUUGUAGAGAAUACUGCGAGUAGUUCGUUUGUUGUCAACUGUAAAGGUGAUUGUAAAGAAUACUGCCAGUAGUUCGUUUGUUGUCAACUGUAAAGGUGAUUGUAGAGAAUACUGCCAGUAGUUCGUUUGUUGUCAACUGUAAAGGCGAUUGUAGAGAAUACUGCGAGUAGUUCGUUUGUUGUCAACUGUAAAGGUGAUUGUAGAGAAUACUGCCAGUAGUUCGUUUGUUGACAACUGUAAAGGUGAUUGUAGAGAAUACUGCCAGUAAUUCGUUUGUUGUCAACUGUAAAGGUGAUUGUAGAGAAUACUGCGAGUAGUUCGUUUGUUGUCAACUGUAAAGGCGAUUGUAGAGAAUACUGCCAGUAGUUCGUUCGUUGACAAAUGGAAAGGUUAUUGUAGAGAAUACUGCCAGUAGUUCGUUUGUCGUCAACUGUAAAGGUGAUUUGUAUUAUCAUAGCAAUUUUCGCCACUUUUUUUAAUAUUAAUGAGAUUGAGAUCAGCGCGUGACGAGCUUCGUGGUGUGAUUGGCAGGAAGCGCAGCCAUUUUUUCGUUAAACCAACCAACACCGCAUGUUUCAGCACGCGUUGACCGCAACCUCAUUGAUAUUAAAAAAAUGAGGCAGGCUGACUGCGAAAAACUGUUUUUGGAGGAAACGGAG